rnacentral:rRNA from 1 species
UGGGGAAUAUUGCGCAAUGGGCGAAAGCCUGACGCAGCGACGCCGCGUGAGGGACGAAGGCCUUCGGGUUGUAAACCUCUUUCAGCAGGGACGAAGCGAAAGUGACGGUACCUGCAGAAGAAGCACCGGCCAACUACGUGCCAGCAGCCGCGGUAAUACGUAGGGUGCAAGCGUUGUCCGGAAUUAUUGGGCGUAAAGAGCUCGUAGGCGGUCUGUCACGUCGGCUGUGAAAACCCGGGGCUCAACCCCGGGCCUGCAGUCGAUACGGGCAGACUAGAGUUCGGUAGGGGAGACUGGAAUUCCUGGUGUAGCGGUGAAAUGCGCAGAUAUCAGGAGGAACACCGGUGGCGAAGGCGGGUCUCUGGGCCGAUACUGACGCUGAGGAGCGAAAGCGUGGGGAGCGAACAGGAUUAGAUACCCCUGUAGUCC